AAGCAUUCACCAUGAAUGGGAGGGUCUUUUCUUUUCUCCAGGGAUGAAGUGGAGGAUUUACCCUGUUCCCAAGAUGGACUAAAAGUCUUAGGCACACCACCAGCAACUACAAAUGAAGUAUCUCAGGAGCAUUUCUGGCAGAAUACAGCUCUGGCUUGAUCGUGUGUCUGGGCAUGAGAAGAGCAGGAAGAGGGGUCAAGGCAGCAAACAGAGAAGGAACCAAAGACCUGAGCUGCAGCCAGAGAUGUGCUUAGAGCCUGACCUAGAGAGAAUAACACAGAGAAUAUGGUGGGAACAGUGAGACCCCCUAAGACCACUGAACUGCUGGGAGACAGCACUGCAAGGACCACUCAGGGCUCCAGCAGCACACGAUGACCUCAUCCCUGUUCUCUUGGACCUCUCGUGGAAGAGCAGAAUGGCUGAGAGGAGGCUGAGGAAAACCAGCCACUUCCCGGUGUGUGCAGCCCCUGCCUGGAGCAUCAGCGAGCAGCAGAUGGGAUGGGGAGGUGAGCCAAGGAGCUGCUGAGCCCGCUGAGGUGUUACACAGCCCCUCGAGCGAGACGUGCCUGGCCAGGAUCACCCAGGACAUGUGUCCCACCACCAAGGCAGCGGGGAUAUAAAUCCUUGCACGGACUGGACAGCGAGCUGUCUGAGCACAUGGAAAAGGAGCAUCAGCCCCUGCUCUGGGGUUGUUGAUAAUGGCUAGAAUUGCUCAGUUUAGAAAAUGAGGAAAGGAGGGUUUGUGAUGGAAGUGAUGAUGGAGUAUGAAGCGCCAUGGUGCUUUGUGAGCAGCACAGCUACAACAACAACAAACCCACACCAGUAAAAAGGAAAAACGUCCUCUCUGUCAAGGUGGGGAGGCAGGAGAUACAACCCUACUGUACGUAACACCAGAGACUUUCCAAAUCCUACUCCAAAGCUUUUAAUCCCUUCAGCCCUAAACGGUUCAAAAUUACAUCAUCAUUUCCUCCAUUUCAGACAGAGCUUUGCCCCUUCUGCUUCUUAGCUGCAGUGCAGCUUAAUAGGACUCAUACUUCUUCAUCUUAAAUGGAAAAAUGUAUGUCAAGGCAAAACAAAGCACAGAUUCUAGAUCUCCACGGGGGGCGAGGGGGGUGUCCCAUAAAUCUGUGUGUGAUUAAAGGCAGCUGCAGAUUGACAUGGACAGUUUGAGCUUGUCAGUCCCUUGUGUGAUGGAUGGCUGUUGGAGCGAGCCAGCAGUGGCAAGCUCAAGACAAUGAAUUUCCUGCACUUCCUAAUCUCAUUGCCGAGGACUGGGAAAUAGAUGCCUCAUCAGCCCUCUCUUGGUAAGGGCCCUAACCCAAACCCCAGCACAAGCACUGCAAGUUUUCAGCCUGGCCAUUUAUUCUCAGCUCUUUCAACCUCUCGUUUCAAUAACAGCAAAUGGGGAGAAGUACAAUGAAUUCCUUUCUGGUAACCUGAGAAUAUCAGCUAAUGGAAAAAACAAAAAGUGCUCUGCAACUAUAUUAAAUUUUCAGGGAUUUUUCCCUCCUGCCCCCAACUGGCUGAUGCUAACAUUUUUUCCAGUGUCCUUGAGAUUGCAGCAAACAGCUUGCAGGGAAAAGAAAAACCAAACAGCUUGAACCACAUCCUCAGCUGGCACAAAAUGAUGCAACUCUCCUUUUUACACCAGCUGAGGAGCCAGGGUACCACUGCUUUUGUAUCAGAUUCACAACAGAGUUACCAUCGUAAAAGUGAGAUACUGAGAUGAGUUUUGCUCCAAGUGACAUCAUAAAUUUGCAAGGAGCAGGAAAUGUCUUGGCAGAGCUGAAUGGGGCGCUGAGCACGGAGCCCAUUUGGCACCAGCAACUAAAUCCAGGAUCCAUGGGGAUGCAUCCAAGGACACAGUCUUAUAUUUUGUAUUCUGAUUUUAUGAACAUCAGACUGAUCUGUGUGUUUAGAAAUGGAAGUAGAAAAAAUAAUGGUGAAAACACGCAUCCAAUGUUAUGGUUUGCAUAUCCAAUAUUAUUGUAAUUCUGGUUAUCUAGCAUGUUUCACGAUAAAAAAUUGAGUGAUUUAGGAAGAAUAGAAUGAAUAUUUCAGUUGGAAUGUACAAUGCUCCAACUAUCUGACCACUUCAGGGUAGACCAGAGCAUUAAGGGCAAAUGUUCAAAUGCCUCCUAAACACUGACAGAUUUGGAGUGUCAAGCACCUCUCUAGGAAGUCUGUUGCAGUGUCUGACCAUCCUCUUGGUAAAGAAAUGCUUCCUAAUGAGCAGUCUAAACCUUUCCUGGUGCAGCUUUGGACAAUUCCCAAGUGUCCUGUCACUGGAUUAAUCACAGGGAGAUUGAAUUUGUCAUAGAAAGAAUCACAGAGUGGUUUGGGUUGGUGAUAUUGGUGGUGUCCAACAGCAUCUGGAAGGAGGAGGAGGCAUCUAAUCUGAGGUGUGAAUUUAGGGAACUUUGCUGCUGGGCCCUAGGGAUCCUGCAUAGUUUCAGGGUGUGAAGUUUAUAGACAGGAGUUUGGGGAUUUCAAGUUUGGAUUUAGAUACAACUCCCACAUCUCUCAAAGGUGCUGUAAAUACUCAUACUUUGUCUGGGAGAAGAGAUAUUUGGAGAACUGCAAGACUGGGGCUUAAAAUAUGCUGAGAUCCCACAUUACCAGGGAUGUACUGAUGUGAGUAAAAGCUAAAACAAAAGAGCCUAUUAAAGUAAAGAGGACUCUAAUGUGCUCCAGAAGACCUUUUGGAAAAGCUGAUUCCAGAAUUCAGUAUUUGCAAACUGAAGACCUCACUGUUUGAGGUUUUGGGGACUGAAAAUUACUACAUGAAAUUUGGAAGUCAUGUUUUCAGAGGUGAAUUUGAAAGACAAAGGUAAGGAACCUACAAAAGUGCUGUUUUGUGUAAACUGACCAGUAAUUGCUUUUUGAGCAGUCUUUCUCUCUCUUCUGUAUUUUAACAGAACCAUAAUUCAUAUUCCAAAUGGUUGGAGUAUAAAAAAACUUUGGCAAAAAGAUCAGGCUUGGCAGCAACUUGUUUCAAGACUUUGAAAAUGAGAUUAAUGAGGAAGAAGGUGCUGAAAAAGAGGGCCAGAGAAGAUGAGGAUUGAUGCUAUUGUAGCACAGACAUCCUUGUACCACUUAUCAGGAUUUCCUGCUUUUAAUUCAUUUUUGCAUUAUUCACCUGGAAAGGAAAAAAAACCCUGAAGUUCAUGCACUUCAUUGGAACACACUGGUCUCAAAGAGAUAUGUUUGCUAUUUUCACAUGGGAAUGGUUACUCCUUGGCAUCUAUUCUGAAUUCAGAACGCAUUGGGUCAAACCCAUCUGUGUUGUAGCCUUCUCAAAUUGCGGGAUUUCCACUCAGGAUGCGUUUGGCCCGGUGUGCUCUGCCUGUUUUGGCUUCAAUACAUUAUGUGAUUGUUAGUUCCAUAUCCCCUGAAGGAUUAUAUUCUUCCUUGGGCACAGAGCCCACUCAGGUCUCUGUGUUUCACUAAACCAGACUAUAAAGAAUAGGUGCAAACCCUGCACAGAAACUUUCCUCAUCCUAUCGAUGCCAUUUCAAGCUGCCCUUGGAAAGAGGAUAUUUAGUGAUGGGCUUGGUUUGCUCUUCUCAGUCAUAAAAGAUUUGAGGAUUGAGUCCUUCUAUACAGCUACCCUUAAUUUGGGGAAUUAAAUCCUGCCAACCCCUUCAGCACAGUGCCCAUUACCCAGUGUAGUCACAGCACCCGCGCUGCUCUGCUGUCUGGGAAACAUCCUGCACGUCAGCACCUCCAGCCUGCCCAGUGCUCAGCUCCUGUUGGGAAUCCUCCAAAGCAAACUCCUCCUUUCCCCAUUCCAGGGCCACACAUCCCUUGUCCCUGAGCUGCACAGGGCUCAGGCAGUGCUCCCCCCAUCUCAGCACAGAGCUGCUUACAGACAGAUGGGCAGAGCUGAGGAACUUUGG